rnacentral:rRNA from 1 species
GAUGAACGCUAGCGGCAGGCUUAACACAUGCAAGUCGAGGGGCAGCGCGGGUAGCAAUACCUGGCGGCGACCGGCGAAAGGGUGAGUAACGCGUGAGCAACAUGCCCGAUACUGGGGGAUAGUCAUUAGAAAUGAUGCGUAAUACCCCGUAACACAUUUUCCCGCAUGGGUAGAUGUUGAAAGAUUGAUUGGUAUCGGAUUGGCUCGCGUGCCAUUAGGUAGACGGCGGGGUAACGGCCCACCGUGCCGACGAUGGCUAGGGGUUCUGAGAGGAAGGUCCCCCACAUUGGAACUGAGACACGGUCCAGACUCCUACGGGAGGCAGCAGUGAGGAAUAUUGGACAAUGGCCGGAAGGCUGAUCCANCCAUGCCGCGUGCGGGAGGACGGNCCUAUGGGUUGUAAACCCGCUUUGCGAAGGAGCAAUAAGAGUCACGCGUGGCUCGAUGAGAGUACCUCGCGAANUAACAUCGGCUAACUCCGUGCCAGCAGCCGCGGUAUUACNGAGGAUGCCAGCGUUAUCCCGAAUUAUGGGGUUAAAGGGUGCGUAAG